rnacentral:rRNA from 1 species
CUUGGGAACUACGAGCCCAAAGGCUUAAAACCUUAAGGACUUGCCCGGUGUCCCAAAACCCCUUAGAGGAGCUUGUUCUAUAAUCGAUAACCCACGUUACACCCAACCCCUCCUUGCCCCAGCAGCCUACAUACCGCCGUCGCCAGCCCACCUCACAUGAGAGCGCAAUAGUGAGCACAAUAAUUCUCCCCAUUAAUAAGACAGGUCAAGGUAUAGCCCAUGGAGGGGAAGAAAUGGGCUACAUUUUCUAACNUAGACCAUACGCGAAAGGGGGCCUGAAAUAGGCCCCCGGAAGAAGGAUUUAGCAGUA